rnacentral:lncRNA from 1 species
UGGGGGUGCAGCUGUCCUGACCAGAUCUAACCAUGCUGAGGCUGGAAGAGUCAUGGUUGAAAGUCCCCUCGCAGACUGAAAGAGCUGGUGAAGCAGGGGAAGAAAAGUUACAGGCCCUCAUUCCAUUCUGGAACCACUUUAUCUGAAAAAAAUGAAAGAAAGAAAAGAAAAGGAAGUUAUAGGCUUCAUGUUUCAUUUCCACAUUCUAGAUGUGGUCAGCAGCUGCAUCGUAGAAGGACAGGAUAUGGAAGCCACACAUUGGCUGCGCCAUUCUGCAUCUGAGCAAGAUUCUCCUAGCAAAAUAAAGAUUCAUUCUUGAAACAGCCAGGGACUGUGCUGUACUGUCUGUUCCCAGGAGGACUGAAGGGGAAAUUAGUCAUCUGCCAAGGAGCCAUAGGAAGGAAGAUGAUAAACUCAAGGAAAAAGAGUCACAUGCCUUUUUUUGUCCUUACUUCUAAACCCGAGUGUACUCUUGACAAAAGUAAUGCAGCAGCCAGGAGUUUUGAAUACAGGAGGGACAUAAAGUGCCUGUUAAAUGCGACCAUUGAUCUUACUUCCCUCCUUUCUAAUGGAGUAUUACAUCUUUAUUUUUAUGCUUGCACAUCAGAUGAGGUAAACUGGAGAGUGGUAUCUGUAUAGUGCUGCAAAGAAACGUGAAAAAAUGAGCUACACCUAACGUUGUCUGGAGCCCUUGCUACAGACCCACCCCAUAAUUUGGCAGCCAGGCAGAGAAGGGCUGUACCCACCCUUGCUAGGGGCACAGUUUCGCCAUUAUAGCUCUGUAGAUAAGAUAUAUAUUCAUUUCCUAGAUUAUUCCUAAUGAUAGUGGGAAAAUCUCUGAAACUUUCCAGGAUCUAAGAGAUACUUAGACUGCUGCUUACACUUGAGCAAGCCUCUUCAUUACUGGCUCUUCCACUGUUUCAUGCCUUCCCUCAGAGUUGGCCCUUUCAAUCACUUUUGUAUUGUUUUUUGGUUUUUGAAUGACAGCAUUGUGGGUUUUAUUUUCCUUCUGAAGAAACUGCACUUAUGAAUUAAGUGCAAAAAUCUCAGUGUAAGUCAGACUCAUGAUUCCCAUGAGCUUGUAGUUUUGGCAGUAUUGGUGACUUUGGAAGAGAUCAGAGACUUCUCAAGUCUUUAAUAUAUAACUACUAAUUAGAUACUGCUGCAAUUAAAUCUAAAUCAAGAUCUGCUGUCUAAGCUAUUUAGCUCUGUUAAGACAGUUUAGCCACCAAAUAAACCUGCUUUGGUGUUAGACCCAAACAACCACAUCACAAAGAUUCAAGAAAGCUUCUAGGAUCAUCGCUUCAGCGUUACAUCUGAAAAAUAAAUCUAAAUGUGCACUAUUCAUCCUGUUCUGAUGAAAUCAGCAUGAGCCUGAGCAGGCAGCACUUCUCACAGACCAAGGGCUGAAUAUUUGCUUUCCAGAUUUAACAGCACUUCAGACAAAAGUCAUUUUUUAAGCAGAUAGUUAUAAUCUGAGGCGAGAAACAUGAGAUGACGAUUAAGGCUGGCUGGAGCAAAAGAACAAACAUUCUGUCAUGAUGCUGCUGAAGCGCUCCAGAAAUAGCCCCCAUUCUGAUAUUUUCAGAGCACAUAUUUGUGCGUGCACUCUAUUAGGUCUGCUACUAAUUUGGUCAAAGUUAGUCGUGUUAAUUAUCUGUCAGUUUGGGAUGGUAAUUUUGACAACUGCUGAACAGUUUCUUCCUCAGAGUCCUCGUGAUCAUCUUCAAUGAUCUAAUCUAAUGUAUUGUCUUGAAACUGAAAUGCUUCAAGCCAGCAUUAACCACAUAAAUAAAUACAAAGCAAUAAUGUGACAUUUCCUGACAAGUGGUGGCAAAGUUUGCUUUUACAGUUGCUGUGAGAAUUAAAGCUUUUAGGAAAUGAGCACAUGUACUGUUAUCAGCUGUCAGACUUUUCUCUUUAGUCUCGCACCAUGUUUUCUUUUUCCCCCCCCCCGUAAAGACUUGUUGUUGAGGUUAAGAUUAUGCAAGAAUUCCACCUUUUAUUUUCUUUGCUGUUAAUAAUUCUCAUGUUUAUGAGGUAAUUCUCAUGGCUAUCUCAUGUUAGUUCUCAAAAAAAAAAAAAAAAAGUGAUUGUAACCCAUAAUACAUUGAAAUAAAAAUCAGUGCUUGAUGUUUUCUUAGCUUCUGAUGUAGAGAACUGACUUUUAUAACUGUUUACUCUAUCCGGGACUGCACAUGACUGCACAGGCACUAAGAUAGCAGAGAAGCCAAAGUGGGAAGGAAGAUUUCUAGCAAAUUUCACAGUUUCCAGUGUUUAUAUUCCUCUGUGUGCAUUUUUAAUAACAGGUAUCACUAAUUUUUUAGGUUAAAAUAAAGUGGAUAAAGUUGGAAAAACACAUUCCCAAGAAUUCCACUGAAAGUUUGUUUGGCAUUUCAAGUCACUUAUCUCACAAGCACUCACCUGUGACAGACCACUGUGACUACUAAUUUAUGUCCCCAGCCUGUUUUACAUUAGCUUGUCCUUUUCUGACUUCAAUAACAAUUGUUUAUUUAGCUUGUGGCAGAUGUGCCACGCUUGAGGAUUAAAAAAAUAGAAGUUCCCCCUCCACACCCUCAGCCAGGUGUCCUGCAUUGAGGUUGUUUAUUCUGAGCAACAUCGUUAGGUUCUUUUAUUUGCUUUCUAAACUUGAGGGUGGACCUGACUCACAUUUUCCAAGUACUAUGUAAGCUGUGGAGCCUAUGGUUUCUGUUCUGUUUUAUUUUGUUUUGCUUUAGGAAAGUUCUGUUCUACUACAAGCCCUUGGUUCUCUAACUCAAAUAUUGAGAAGAAAUAUCAAGAAUGAAUUGAGCUGCAACAGAAAGCACAGAAGCUGGCACCUUCCCAUUGCUCGUUACUUAAACAACACCGAGAGUCCAGAAGUGGUAUGUGGUGUUGUUAGUUGCAAAUUAGAGCAGCUGCUACCCAUGUUAUUUGCUGUAUCAAAGCAUUAAAUUCUAGCCAGAAGUCAGAAAAUUUUAAUUAGUAUACGAUUCCAGUUAUCACAUGAACUUUGGCAAAAACAGGCCUGCGCUACUCUAUGAUCAAGCCAACAAUGCUUAAACAGUAAUUUAUAAGGAGAGCUGGCCAAAAAUGGUCACCCAAAAAUCACCGCUCAUGCAGAAAAUGCCUUGUAGGAGAUGAGGGUAGUUGUCCAAUCCUAAAUAUUUACUGCUCCCUGUUGUAUUAGAUCCCUGAGGUGUGACUCCGCAGCUCACUGACAUUUGGCCUUUCCCUACCCCAAGAAGUUUGUUCUCCAGUGGCUGCCCUCUGACGCUCUGCAACCUCUCCCCCAACCAGUUUGACCAGGCAAUACAAUCACCUCCAGUCUCCAGCCUGACCAACCUCACUCAUUCAGUCACUGUUACAGUUACAGCCCCUGCGGUUCUGGCGACAAAGCUAUUAUUCUGUGAAAAAUCUGAGAGUGAAAACUUUGAUCCAAGUGCACACGGUGAAUUUCCACUCCCUCAGAUGAAAUAGCCUUGUAGGAUUAAUUCCCUCCCUUUUCUUGAGGUGCAAAGGGGAAAAAUAUAUUGCAACCUUUAGGAAAAUUGCUGGAGAUGGUAGCAAUUUUCCCUCAGCUUGAUCUCAAAUAUGUUUAUUUUACAUUUUAAGUGUGACCUCAUGUGCUUGCUCAUAGCGGUUUCAAUGCUUAGAGUGCUCUACCAUGGUUCAGAAAAGAGCUCAGUUUUUACCUCCAAACUCCAUUUUGAGAUGCUGGCUGUCUUACUUGUUGGCCCAAUUUUUAUACGGUGUCAGGUGCUGCGCAUCUAAAAAAGAAGGCAGCAUUUCACCAAGUGAAAGGAGUUGUGCAGCUGGCACAGCUAGUGCAGAAAGAAAUUGCAGUAAUCUUAGUACCAUGCAGCUCUUAGACUACAGCUCCACUAGGAAUGUAUUGUUUUAAGGCACCUGACGUACAUCAAAACAGCGAGCGCUGAACCCAAAGCCUUAAACUAUCAGAAAAACAUUAUGAGAGAAUGUUUGGAGAUGUAACUGCCAUUGCUGAAUCAGUUUUUUUUUUUUUCAAUUUGCUACAUUGAUCUAAUACUAUAUAGUUUCAAGUAUCAUUUAAGCCCUUCCUAAGUGUAAAGCUGUAUUAAAAACAUGACAACCC